rnacentral:lncRNA from 1 species
GGCCAGAUAAGUGAGAUUAGUGGGAGGAAUAUGCCAUUAACUCGUCAUAGACUCAAUCUAUGAGAGUAGCUCUCAAUUAAUGACCAUCGAUCAAGACUGUCAAACUUACCUUAGACACUAACUGAUUAAUUAGUUUCAAUUAGAUCUACUUAUGGAUUUAGGUUCGACCGCUGAACUCAAGAUCAAAGUCCAUUUGAGUCUAAUCAAAGAUAUGGAC